rnacentral:rRNA from 1 species
UACGGAAGGUGCAAGCGUUAAUCGGAAUUACUGGGCGUAAAGCGCGCGUAGGCGGCUUCGUAAGUCGGGUGUGAAAGCCCCGGGCUCAACCUGGGAACUGCGCUCGAUACUGCGGAGCUCGAGUACGAGAGAGGGGGGUGGAAUUCCAGGUGUAGCGGUGAAAUGCGUAGAGAUCUGGAGGAACACCGGUGGCGAAGGCGGCGUUCUGGACUGUCUCUGACACUGAAGAACGAAAGCCAGGGGAGCAAACGGG